rnacentral:rRNA from 1 species
ACUCCUACGGGAGGCAGCAGUGGGGAAUAUUGGACAAUGGGCGCAAGCCUGAUCCAGCCAUGCCGCGUGUGUGAAGAAGGCCUUAUGGUUGUAAAGCACUUUAAGCGAGGAGGAGGCUACUUUAGUUAAUACCUAGAGAUAGUGGACGUUACUCGCAGAAUAAGCACCGGCUAACUCUGUGCCAGCAGCCGCGGUAAUACAGAGGGUGCAAGCGUUAAUCGGAUUUACUGGGCGUAAAGCGCGCGUAGGCGGCUAAUUAAGUCAAAUGUGAAAUCCCCGAGCUUAACUUGGGAAUUGCAUUCGAUACUGGUUAGCUAGAGUGUGGGAGAGGAUGGUAGAAUUCCAGGUGUAGCGGUGAAAUGCGUAGAGAUCUGGAGGAAUACCGAUGGCGAAGGCAGCCAUCUGGCCUAACACUGACGCUGAGGUGCGAAAGCAUGGGGAGCAAACAGGAUUAGAUACCCUGGUAGCGUCGU